rnacentral:rRNA from 1 species
UACGUAGGGGGCUAGCGUUGUCCGGAAUCAUUGGGCGUAAAGAGCGUGUAGGCGGCCCGACAGGUCCGUUGUGAAAACUCGAGGCUCAACCUCGAGACGUCGAUGGAAACCGUCGGGCUAGAGUCCGGAAGAGGAGAGUGGAAUUCCUGGUGUAGCGGUGAAAUGCGCAGAUAUCAGGAGGAACACCGGUGGCGAAGGCGGUUCUCUGGGCAUGUCCUGACGCUGAGGAGCGAAAGUGUGGGGAGCGAACAGG